rnacentral:rRNA from 1 species
GGGGAAUAUUGCACAAUGGGGGAAACCCUGAUGCAGCCAUGCCGCGUGUGUGAAGAAGGCCUUCGGGUUGUAAAGCACUUUCAGUGGGGAGGAAGGGGCGAUGUCUAAUACGCAUUGUCAUUGACGUUACCCACAGAAGAAGCACCGGCUAACUCCGUGCCAGCAGCCGCGGUAAUACGGAGGGUGCAAGCGUUAAUCGGAAUAACUGGGCGUAAAGCGCACGCAGGCGGUUGGACAAGUCAGAUGUGAAAUCCCCGGGCUCAACCUGGGAACUGCAUUUGAAACUGUCCGACUAGAGUCUUGUAGAGGGGGGUAGAAUUCCAGGUGUAGCGGUGAAAUGCGUAGAGAUCUGGAGGAAUACCGGUGGCGAAGGCGGCCCCCUGGACAAAGACUGACGCUCAGGUGCGAAAGCGUGGGGAGCAAAC